GAAAUGCGAUACGUAAUGCGAAUUGCAGAAUCCAGUGAGUCAUCGAAAUUUUGAACGCACCUUGCGCUUCCGGGUAACCGGGAGCAUGUCUGUUGGAGUGCCUGUUCUCAACCACAACUCAUGUUCUGAACGUGAGCGUGUCUGCUUUGUUCGCUGCAAAAGGCGAACACUGCAAUGAGAUGAAAGGCCUUCUUCUGUUUCUCAACCUCACUUUCUUUUUUCCUUGCUGGAAAAGAGUGGUUGUGAAUGUCGUGAGUAAUGUAUUAUUAUAAUAUUUUUACACACAGCAUUCAACACAAAAAGCAACCACCCCCUGUCCUUCAAAAACACAGAAAAGAGUGGGGGGCAAAAAAGCGAGAAGCAAUACAACCCAAUCGGGCCUCCAAUCAGACAAGAAGACCCGCUGAAUUUAA
rnacentral:misc_RNA from 1 species